GAAUGCUACUCUUCUAUCUCUUUUCUAGAAAUGUAUAGAUGGAAUAAUACUGUCAACCUUAGGGCCACAAAAUACAUACAAAAAUGAUUUGUUAUGUUCGUGUAACACUGGUAACUUUUCAAACUCCCUCAUGAUAGUAUUUAAUGUCUUAUAGCUAUAUUAUAAUAGCAACUCACAUUUUUUACUGUUUAGCACUCUGAAACUCAAUUGUGUGUACGUUCUUUUUACCUUUCAUGAUGACAGGUAUUCUAGUGCUCGAGCGAGAGAUUUACUUGGAAAACAAGAAAUUCCUGGAAUCCACUACUUGCCUACAGCUUUUUCUGGCUGGAGUCAGUCCUUGAGGCUCUAAGCUCUCUUGCUACCUACAAGCCUUUAUUUCCUUUUCUGCCUUUACAUAGAGGUGCAUAUUCAACUGUGAAUUCUUUGGGCAGUUCCUCUUGUCACCAAGUCUGAUGACUGAUGGCAAUUAAGCUACAGAAACAAGCUGUCUGUGUUGAAGUUCUGAUAGGGUGUGAUUACAGGAAAAGGGGAGGCACAAGGAAUGGCAGGAUAAUUAAUGUGAAAUGCUGCCCAGAAGCUGAGGGAUGAAUGAAUCCACCUUCACACAUCUUUGCAGGCCCUUCAGUUCUAUGAUUUGUGCAUUAUAUUAUUUAGCAGAAAUAAUAAAGAACUAAAUAUGCUUUUUUUUUCGUACAUGGCAUUAACUACUUUUGUGUGUUAAUGUGGUACCUGCCAAUUACUUGCAUUGAAGCAAAUGGCUAAAAUAUACAAAUUAAGUUAUGAACACACUGCUACAUUUAACAGAUUAACUGAAAACCUG